rnacentral:tRNA from 1 species
UAGGGUAUGGUGUAAUGGUAACACUACAGAUUUUGAUUCUGUCAUUCUUGGUUCAAAUCCAAGUACCCUAG